AUUCUAUAAAUACAAACAGUAAUGCAUUUCCACUUCUGCUCACACAUGUUCCAAUGUUCAUGCUAAAACUCAUUCUAAACAAUGUCGUAACAUGGAAGAAGAUCAGUGAACAAAUGAACACCACAUUGAAACGCCUAACACGUAUGAACCCGGGGUUGGGGUAGCAGGCAUUUCAUCAAACACAUGGUGGGCAAUUCUGAAUUCGAUGGAAAACCAGAACCCAAGUUCAGAUACUUAAAACACCCAAAACCAAAGCUCUAACUCACAUAAUUAACAACCCAAUGAAACAAGUGCCUCUAAAACCCUAAACUUGAGAUCAUGAAUUUGAACAACUGGGACUAAAAAUGAUUACUUGAAUCCCAAAAAUCAAAUCCCAAUAACUGGGUUGAUCGGAAUCGUCAUAUAAGAAUAGUAUUCAUAGAGAGGAGAGAUGAUCCAUUACUUGGGAUACAGUUUCUUCGGGUUUCUCCUGAGCUUCCAUUGGCACUGGAGACGAACCAGUCAGAAACGACGUCCUUGAUAAUGUCGUACUUGUUUCAAAGGAAAGUUGUGCUCUUAACUUAUAAUGUCUAAAAACUCGUAAU
rnacentral:lncRNA from 1 species